UACGGAGGGGGCCAGCGUUGUUCGGAAUCAUUGGGCGUAAAGGGCGCGUAGGCGGCUUUGUAAGUCCGUUGUGAAAUCCCUCGGCUCAACCGAGGAACUGCGACGGAUACUGCUUGGCUUGAGUCCCGGAGAGGGUAGCGGAAUUCCCAGUGUAGCGGUGAAAUGCGUAGAUAUUGGGAGGAACAUCGGUGGCGAAGGCGGCUACCUGGACGGGUACUGACGCUGAUGCGCGAAAGCUAGGGGAGCGAAACAGG
rnacentral:rRNA from 1 species